rnacentral:misc_RNA from 1 species
AUGUAAGAAUUUUACAUUUCUAUAUUCUCAGUAUUUAGUUUUUAGCAUAAAGUGCCGGCAAAGAGUAUAAGAUCUCCAGUGUCUGUGGCAUGCUUUUUAAGCACAUUUUUUCUGCCAAAGUCAAGACUCUAUGGACCUAUUAAACAGUUGUUAUCUGAAGAGAAGCCUCCAAAAUACAGAGAAACAUGGGAGACCAUUGUGUCCAUUAUAAACUUUUAUGCAAGUGAACAUUACGUCAGUUGAACUUCUUGUCUUGACUUCAACUUUGAUCCAGAUGACAAGAGCAAGUGCCUAAACCCAAUCCAUUGCGGUCCAGCCCUUCAGCCCACUUAUCCUGUUAGCUGAUAAAACAUGGGUCAUCCAAGUAAACACAAUUUUUGUCAUAAAUGAUGUGAAUUAUAAAAAAAAAG